rnacentral:rRNA from 1 species
GAUGAACGCUGGCGGCGUGCCUAAUACAUGCAAGUCGAGCGAACAGACGAGGAGCUUGCUCCUCUGACGUUAGCGGCGGACGGGUGAGUAACACGUGUAUAACCUACCUAUAAGACGGGUAUAACUUCGGGAAACCGGAGAUAAUACCGGAUAAUAUAUUGAACCGCAUGGUUCAAUAGUGAAAGACGGUUUUGCGGUCACUUAUAGAUGGAUCCGCGCCGCAUUAGCUAGUUGGUAAGGUAACGGCUUACCAAGGCAACUAUGCGUAUCCGACGUGAUAGGGGGGUCGGCCACACGGGAGCUGAGACACGGUCCAGGGUCCUGCGGGACGGAGCAGUAGGGAAUCGGCCGCAGUGGGCGAAAGCCUGACGGAGCAGCGCCGAGUGAGUGAUGAAGGUCUUCGGAUCGUAAAACUCUGUUAUUAGGGAAGAACAAAUGUGUAAGUAACUAUGCACGUCUUGACGGUAACUAAUCAGAAAGCCACGGCUAACUACGUG